GACGAACGCUUUCUUCUUUCUUAACACAUGCAAGUCGAACGGAAAGGCCCUGCUUUUGUGUGGUGCUCGAGUGGCGAACGGGUGAGUAACACGUGAGUAACCUGCCCUUGACUUUGGGAUAACUUCAGGAAACUGGGGCUAAUACCGGCUAGGAGCUCCUGCUGCAUGGUGGGGGUUGGAAAGGUUCGGCGGUUGGGGAUGGACUCGCGGCUUAUCAGCUUGUUGGUGGGGUAGUGGCUUACCAAGGCUUUGCCGGGUAGCCGGCCUGAGAGGGUGACCGGCCACAUGGGGCCUGAGAUACGGCCCAGACUCCUACGGGAGGCAGCAGGGGGGAAUAUUGCACAAUGGGCGGAAGCCUGAUGCAGCAACGCCGCGUGCGGGAAGACGGCCUUCGGGUUGUAAACCGCUUUCGCCUGAGACGAAGCGUGAGUGACGGUAAUGGGUAAAGAAGCACCGGCUAACUACGGG
rnacentral:rRNA from 1 species